GGACGAUCUGGUUGCGACAUCUGUCACCCCAUUGAUCGCCAGGGUUGAUUCGACUGAUCUGGCUGGCUAGGCAGAUCACCACUUCAUGUGAGUCCCUCCCUAAGCUGCAUGCUAGAUAGAAAAGGAUGGCCUUCCCUGAAUAGAGAUGGACUGGUCUUUGGUCAAGGGUAUCCGAGUAGCUGCGCUCCCCUGCUAGAACCUCCAAACAAGCUCUCAAGUAUAUAUGCAAGUUCAAGGUGAAAUGACACUAUGUGAGUGUUGUAAAUGGUGCUAAAUCCUGAUAAUAGUUGAAUCUGAAUGACAGGUAUAUGGAAAUGCUUAGUAUGUAUCUUUUU
rnacentral:snRNA from 1 species